CACUUAUUUCUUCAGCAUCAGAAACCAGGACGAAAUUAUUGUCUUCAGAAAACCCUUACUGUCUGGAGAUUGACUUUCGAUUGCUGUGACUGUCUGGAGAUUGACUUUCUAUUGCUGUGGUUCUGCGGUACGGGUACCCAAAACAAAUCAGCAGGAAAAGCUAACGUGGGGGAUUCGAGAGCUUUUCAAUGAGUUCAAGCCUGAAGGGAAACAGAUGCGUCUGUAACCUUUUCCCAAUUCGAGGUAACAAACAAAUCAGAAAGAAUAAUUCUCACAAAAACCCUCGAUCUUUUACUCUUGUUUCUGUGAUUCUUCCCUUUUCUCUCUAUCCAGUCGUCUAUCGGUGAGAAAUAUUCAGAGAUCCCAUGAGAGAGAGAGGAUGAGAUGGUUAAAGUGCUCAGAAAGAGGAGGUUGAAGAGAGUGAAGACAAAGAUGGAGUCUUUGAAGAGAAAUGGACUGUGGAGACCCCAAACCAACAAAAG
rnacentral:misc_RNA from 1 species